UACGUAGGGGGCAAGCGUUGUCCGGAUUUAUUGGGCGUAAAGAGCUCGUAGGCGGUUUGGUAAGUCAGGUGUGAAAUCUCCACGCUCAACGUGGAGGGGCCACCUGAUACUGCCAUGACUGGAGUCCGGUAGAGGAGUGUGGAAUUCCCGGUGUAGCGGUGAAAUGCGCAGAUAUCGGGAGGAACACCCGUAGCGAAGGCGGCACUCUGGGCCGGUACUGACGCUGAGACGCGAAAGCGUGGGGAGCGAACAGG
rnacentral:rRNA from 1 species